GACGAACGCUGGCGGCGUGCUUAACACAUGCAAGUCGAGCGGUAAGGCCCUUUCGGGGGUACACGAGCGGCGAACGGGUGAGUAACACGUGGGUGACCUGCCCUCAGCUCUGGGAUAAGCCUGGGAAACCGGGUCUAAUACUGGAUAUGACUCCAUGACGCAUGUUGUGGGGUGGAAAGCCUUGUGCGGCUGAGGAUGGGCCCGCGGCCUAUCAGCUUGUUGGUGGGGNGAUGGCCUACCAAGGCGACGACGGGUAGCCGGCCUGAGAGGGCGACCGGCCACACUGGGACUGAGACACGGCCCAGACUCCUACGGGAGGCAGCAGUGGGGAAUCUUGCGCAAGUGGGCGAAAGCCUGACGCAGCGACGCCGCGUGAGGGAUGACGGCCU
rnacentral:rRNA from 1 species